rnacentral:sRNA from 1 species
UCCAUAGUAGGGGUCCGCCGAUUGAUCC